rnacentral:rRNA from 1 species
CCUACGGGUGGCAGCAGUGGGGGAUAUUGCACAAUGGGGGGAACCCUGAUGCAGCGACGCCGCGUGAGCGAAGAAGUACCUCGGUAUUGAAAGCUCUAUCAGCAGGGAAGAAAAUGACGGCACCUGACUAAGAAGCCCCGUCUAAAUACGUGCCGGCAGCCGAGGCAAUACGUAGGGGGCAAGCGUUAUCCGGAUUUACUGGGUGUAAAGGGAGCGCAGAUGGGUUGUCAAGUCAGUUGUGAAAGUACGGGGCUCAACCGUGAGCCUGCAAUUGAAACUGGCGGUCUUGAGUGUCGGAGGGGCAGGCGGAAUUCGUAGUGUAGCGGUGAAAUGCGUAGA